GAUGAAGGAACGCAGCGAAAUGCGAUAAGUAAUGUGAAUUGCAGAAUUCAGUGAAUCAUCGAGUCUUUGAACGCACAUUGCGCCCCCUGGUAUUCCGGGGGGCAUGCCUGUCCGAGCGUCAUUGCCGCCCUCAAGCACGGCUUGUGUGUUGGGCCCCCGCCCCCCGGCUUCGGGGGGCGGGCCCGAAAGGCAGCGGCGGCACCGCGUCCGGUCCUCGAGCGUAUGGGGCUUCGUCACCCGCUCUGUAGGCCCGGCCGGCGCCCGCCGGCGACCCCAAUCAAUCUUUCCAGGUUGACCUCGGAUCAGGUAGGGAUACCCGCUGAACUUAAGCAUAUCAAUAAGCGGAGGA
rnacentral:misc_RNA from 1 species